AUGGCCAUAACUAGAAAAAGAAAUGGGGGUCUCAAUCAUGAUGAUGUCACAGUAGGAGAAUUACUGGGCAAGGGAACUUUUGCUGACAUAUUUAAGGGCACAUUAAAGGAUAAAACUGCUGUUGCCAUUAAAACAUGUAAAGAUGAUCUUUCCCAGGAACUGAAAUUAAAAUUUUUACAAGAAGCCAAAAUCCUCAAGCAAUAUAAUCAUCCCGAUAUUGUCAAACUUAUAGGAGUUCGCACACAAAUACAGCUUAUCAAUAUCAUUAAGGAACUGGUUCCAGGAGGCGAUUUCCUCUCCUUUCUGAGAAAGAAGGAUGAACUAAAACAGUUAGUGAAGUUUUCAUUAGAUGCUGCUUCUGGAUGGCGAAUCUCGAGUAAAAAUUGUAUACACAGGGACCUUGCUGCAAGAAACUGCCUGGAGGUGAAAAUAAUGUUCUGAAAAUCAGUGACUUUGGAAUGUCUCGUCAAGAGGAUGGUGGUGUGUAUUCAUCUUCUGACUUAAAGCAGAUUCCCAUUAAAUGGACAGCACCAGAAGCUCUUAAUUAUGGGAGAUAUCGUUCUGAGAGUGACGCAUGGAGCUUUGGCAUCCUCCUCUGGGAGACCUUCAGCUUAGGGGUCUGUCCAUACCCUGGAAUGACAAAUCAGCAAGCACAAGAGCAAGUGGAAAGAAGAUACUGGAUGUCAGUCUCUCAGCAGUAUCCAGAGCGUAUUUAUCAAUACAAUGUUGAAGUGUUGGGAUUACAAACUUGAAAACUGCCCCAAGUUCAGUGAACUUCAGAAAGAACUGCCAUCAAGAAGAAAAGUCAUAUGGUGA